rnacentral:rRNA from 1 species
ACGAACGCUGGCGGCGUGCUUAACACAUGCAAGUCGAGCGGUAAGGCCCUUCGGGGUACACGAGCGGCGAACGGGUGAGUAACACGUGAGUAAUCUGCCCUUCACUCUGGGAUAAGCACUCGAAAGGGUGUCUAAUACCGGAUACGACACAGAACCGCAUGGUUUCUGUGUGGAAACUUUUGUGGGUGGGGGAUGUGCUCGCGGCCUAUCAGCUUGUUGGUGGGGUAAUGGCCUACCAAGGCUUCGACGGGUAGCCGGCCUGAGAGGGUGACCGGCCACACUGGGACUGAGACACGGCCCAGACUCCUACGGGAGGCAGCAGUGGGGAAUAUUGGACAAUGGGCGGAAGCCUGAUCCAGCAACGCCGCGUGAGGGAUGACGGCCUUCGGGUUGUAAACCUCUUUCAGUAUCGACGAAGCGCCCGUGUGGGUGGUGACGGUAGGUACAGAAGAAGCACCGGCCAACUACGU